rnacentral:rRNA from 1 species
UGGGGAAUAUUGGACAAUGGGCGAAAGCCUGAUCCAGCCAUGCCGCGUGUGUGAAGAAGGUCUUCGGAUUGUAAAGCACUUUAAGAUGGGAGGAAGGGCAGUAAGCGAAUACCUUGCUGUUUUGACGUUACCGACAGAAUAAGCACCGGCUAACUCUGUGCCAGCAGCCGCGGUAAUACAGAGGGUGCAAGCGUUAAUCGGAAUUACUGGGCGUAAAGCGCGCGUAGGUGGUUCGUUAAGUUGAAUGUGAAAGCCCCGGGCUCAACCUGGGAACUGCAUAGAAAAAAGGCGAGCUAGAGUAGGGCAGAGGGUGGUGGAAUUUCCUGUGUAGCGGUGAGAUGCGUAGAUAUAGGAAGGAAAACCAGUGGCGAAGGCGACCACCUGGGCUCAUACUGACACUGAGGUGCGAAAGCGUGGGGAGCAAACAGG